rnacentral:rRNA from 1 species
CCUACGGGUGGCAGCAGUGGGGAAUAUUGCACAAUGGGCGCAAGCCUGAUGCAGCCAUGCCGCGUGUGUGAAGAAGGCCUUCGGGUUGUAAAGCACUUUCAGCGGGGAGGAAGGCGUUAAGGUUAAUAACCUUGUCGAUUGACGUUACCCGCAGAAGAAGCACCGGCUAACUCCGUGCCAGCAGCCGCGGUAAUACGGAGGGUGCAAGCGUUAAUCGGAAUUACUGGGCGUAAAGCGCACGCAGGCGGUCUGUCAAGUCGGAUGUGAAAUCCCCGGGCUCAACCUGGGAAUUGCAUUCGAAACUGGCAGGCUAGAGUCUUGUAGAGGGGGGUAGAAUUCCAGGUGUAGCGGUGAAAUGCGUAGAGAUCUGGAGGAAUACCGGUGGCGAAGGCGGCCCCCUGGACAAAGACUGACGCUCAGGUGCGAAAGCGUGGGGAGCAAACAGGAUUAGAUACCCCGGUAGUC